UAGGGAAUCUUCCACAAUGGGCGAAAGUCUGAUGGAGCAACGCCGCGUGAGUGAAGAAGGGUUUCGGCUCGUAAAACUCUGUUGUUAAAGAAGAACAUAUCUGAGAGUAACUGUUCAGGUAUUGACGGUAUUUAACCAGAAAGCCACGGCUAACUACGUGCAG
rnacentral:rRNA from 1 species